rnacentral:misc_RNA from 1 species
UCAUCCAUGCAUAAACAAGUGAAAUCUUGGGAAGUUCUUUCACGUUGAAUUUCUUUUUUCAAAAUUAUUUAAUCGUUAAUUUACCUUAUAUUAAAAAGAAUGAUGGCACCAUGAAACUAGACUUUAUUAAACUAUUCCUCAAUCUACAAAUUGCUGCCUAUUGACGUUAACAACGCCAGCAGUUGUUUUGAUUUGUUCGAAUCGUCAAAGAAUGGAUGAAAAUAAUCUGAGGACUGAUGGCAAUAUGUCUAGAGAGCAGUCUUGCUUUGCUCAGGAUGAGGGUUCUGAUACGGAAAGCGAACAAACUGUGACCAGUAGUUCCAGCUCGUCUGCCUCUAGUCCAAUGCCAAUUGAAGAUUUAGGACCUGUAUUCAAUGUCAAGGGUAUUCGUGCCACUGCAGACUCUUCGGUUUUGACAUUCCGCAUCUCGAGAAUUGAUGACCCAGAAAUCAGAGAUUCCUGGUGGGAGGUAACGAGAAGUUAUGAAGAAUUUGAAGCCUUCAAUCGGUUGCUGGUGGAUUGCCAAAAGUUUGGUGGGAUGAUAUAUCCUCCUUUGCCACCACCAUUGACAUCCAAGUAUGAAGAGAAUUUUGCUGAAGCUCCAAUCAUCCAUCGAAAACAAAUUGAAAGGUACUUGCAAAUGGUCGCUUUGCAUUCCACGUUAGGCAGGUCGCAAGCCUUAGCCGAUUUUCUGUCCCCAACCUAUGUGAUAGCAGAAAAAACCGGUCGUAAAGGGCUUUUCGCCAAGCUUGCCGAGAGCUUUGCUGGAUCUUCCCAGCCGGCUAAAGUGCCCCUUCGAGAUAUUGAAGAGUUUUUCCAAAACGAGCGUGAUUGGUCGGCCAACUAUUCAAUUCAUCUUAAAACCACAUUGAAUGCCGUGCUGACCGUCAUUCAUUCGGAAAAAAAAAUCAUUGGCCAACUGAAACACCUGUGCACAGCUCUUUCGAUGAAUGCCCCAAGUUCGUACCAGCAGGAAACGAGCCGCAUCCAUCAUCAACUCCAUUCCAAAAUGGCAGAUUCGUUUCUCAGUAUACAGGAUUUGACGGAAGACGGACUUCAGAGGGGUUUAUGCGAUUUCUAUUGCAUUUGGGACCUGUACCUACAGUACUUGGCCAACGAACAGCUGAUGCUCAACCGACGUACGGCAUUACUCAUCAACUACGAGAACGCCAACCGCAAUUGGGAUAAGGCCAAAGCCCAUAAACGAGAUGAGGCUGAAGCGGCUAAAAAAGGCGGCCGAAACGGCGUUUGAAGAAUGUUCCGACGUGGCCCGUCACGAAAUCAAGGCUUUUCAAAAGCAGCGCGUCCAAGAAAUGCGCCUGAACCUGACACAGUUGGCGAGAAGUGAAUUGGCUCGAGCGCGCUCCAUACGCGCCUCCCUACAGCGAGCGCUGGAUCAAGCUCGACUCUUCCCAGUUCCAGAUGACCCGCAUCUUUCUUCUUUGUAUUCGUAAAGCUCUUCGUCAGACGCAGAGCACGAAGAGAGACGGAAACAUUCCAGCCAGCGAACGAUGCGUCAAUUCCACAACAUCUAAUUAUCAAUGGAAUUUUACAUUAUUUUACCUUCUAAUCCAUUUCUGUAAUCGUCAUUUUUUUUUGGUUUUUUCUUUGUCCCUGCCUUUUAUUUUAGUCGCUCUCAUCCAAAUAUUGUUUUCUUUUCUUUCGCCAAAUGAUUCGUUAUAGUCACGUCAUGUUCCAGCGCCCAAAACAGUCUGUCCCGCUCCCGUCAUUUGCCAAUCGCUGUCCAGGAUAAUGAAGUAUUCCUAAUAGCGACUUGAAACAAAACUUGAACGUUCGCUUUGAAUUCUCUUGUUUUUGGUUAGCGCUCUAACGUUAAACACGCGUAACAGAUGGCGGAUAUUAUUUUUGGGCGGGGGAAAGGCGCCUGAUCGUGAUGCG